rnacentral:rRNA from 1 species
CCUACGGGAGGCAGCAGUGGGGAAUCUUCCGCAAUGGACGAAAGUCUGACGGAGCAACGCCGCGUGAGUGAUGACGGCCUUCGGGUUGUAAAGCUCUGUUAAUCGGGACGAAUGGUUCUUGUGCGAAUAGUGCGAGGAUUUGACGGUACCGGAAUAGAAAGCCACGGCUAACUACGUGCCAGCAGCCGCGGUAAUACGUAGGUGGCAAGCGUUGUCCGGAAUUAUUGGGCGUAAAGCGCGCGCAGGCGGAUUGGUCAGUCUGUCUUAAAAGUUCGGGGCUUAACCCCGUGAUGGGAUGGAAACUGCCAAUCUAGAGUAUCGGAGAGGAAAGUGGAAUUCCUAGUGUAGCGGUGAAAUGCGUAGAUAUUAGGAAGAACACCAGUGGCGAAGGCGACUUUCUGGACGAAAACUGACGCUGAGGCGCGAAAGCCAGGGGAGCGAACGGGAUUAGAUACCCCAGUAGUC